AACGAACGCUGGCGGCAGGCUUAACACAUGCAAGUCGAGCGCCCCGCAAGGGGAGCGGCAGACGGGUGAGUAACGCGUGGGAAUCUACCCAUCUCUACGGAAUAACGCAUGGAAACGUGUGCUAAUACCGUAUACGUCCUUCGGGAGAAAGAUUUAUCGGAGAUGGAUGAGCCCGCGUUGGAUUAGCUAGUUGGUGGGGUAAAGGCCUACCAAGGCGACGAUCCAUAGCUGGUCUGAGAGGAUGAUCAGCCACACUGGGACUGAGACACGGCCAGACUCCUACGGGAGGCAGCAGUGGGGAAUAUUGGACAAUGGGCGCAAGCCUGAUCCAGCCAUGCCGCGUGAGUGCUGAAGGCCCUAGGGUUGUAAAGCUCUUUCACCGGUGAAGAUAAUGACGGUAACCGGAGAAGAAGCCCCGGCUAACUUCGUGCCAGCCGCCGCAGUAAUAC
rnacentral:rRNA from 1 species